AUGGUUCUCAGAACACAGCCGGUGCCUGCAAGCCGCCCAGGGAGCUUCCGGCCAUCGCACAGAGGCUGCAAGAACCUUGACCCAGCUCAGCAGGCUCAGGAGCAGAGACAAAGCAGAGUCCAUGGUGCAGGUGCCUGGGACCUGGACGAGGAGCAGAGACCAGUUCAGACAUCUGCAAAGGAAGAGUCCCCGGGAAGCAGGCAGCCUGGAGUGCUCCGUGAGUGGACUUUUGGAAGCAACCUUGUACAAAUGAGACCAACAAGGCCCAGGGGUUCGACUAGAGUGGGGCUCCACUGGAAUGGAGUUCACGGGGAUAAAGUCCUCAGCAUCAGCACCCACAGGAGCUGAAGGCCCUACAUGCCUCUUUGCUGGCUCCGGCCUGGCCCAGCCCUGGCUGUUGUGGUUAUUUGGAGAGUGAGUCAGCAGAUGGAGGAGCUCUGUGUGUGUGUGCACGUGUGUGUGCAACUCUGCCUUUCAAAUAAAUAAAUAACUAUUUAAAAAUAAAUAAAGCA
rnacentral:lncRNA from 1 species